UGGGGAAUAUUGGACAAUGGGCGAAAGCCUGAUCCAGCCAUGCCGCGUGUGUGAAGAAGGCCUUAUGGUUGUAAAGCACUUUAAGCGAGGAGGAGGGUACUGGUAUUAAUACUACCAGCUACUGGACGUUACUCGCAGAAUAAGCACCGGCUAACUCUGUGCCAGCAGCCGCGGUAAUACAGAGGGUGCGAGCGUUAAUCGGAUUUACUGGGCGUAAAGCGUGCGUAGGCGGCUAAUUGAGUCGGAUGUGAAAUCCCCGAGCUUAACUUGGGAACUGCAUCCAAAACUGGCGAGCUAGAGUAGGGCAGAGGGUGGUGGAAUUUCCUGUGUAGCGGUGAAAUGCGUAGAUAUAGGAAGGAACACCAGUGGCGAAGGCGACCACCUGGGCUCAUACUGACACUGAGGUGCGAAAGCGUGGGGAGCAAACAGG
rnacentral:rRNA from 1 species